rnacentral:tRNA from 1 species
GGGAACGUGGCUUAAUUGUAGAGUACUUGCUUCACAUGCAUGAAGCCCUAGGUUCAAUUCCUUACUACCA